GCUAGGUACGGAGGCACAUGCCUGUAAUCCCAGCGGCUGAGGAGGCUGAGGCAGGAGGAUCAUAAGUUCAAAGCCAGCCUCAGGAACUGAGCUAAGUCCUAAGCAACACAGUGAGACCCUGUCUCUA
rnacentral:sRNA from 1 species